CGAACCCAGGUCUCCCCCGUUGCAGGCGGAUUCUUUACCGUCUGCACCCCAGGGGACACCUAAGAAGUCUAGAGACAAAAAGACCCUAGCAUGAGUGUAGUCUGUAUCUUGGAGAGGUUUGAGCCUUCUGUAAAAACUGUGGGGUGCUCUGAGAUCUAUGGAAUUCCUACAUGUGAAUCUUUUUUUUUCUUCCUCACGACCCUCAAUACUUCCAUGGUCUGAAAAGCUGAGACUCUUGCCUUUGCUUUCUUUGAAGUAUCACUUUUGAUAAUGAGUAAUUAACAUUUUUAAGCCUAAACAUGAAGCAUGCUCUCAAUUCAUUAUUAAAAAGUGCAGAUAUCUUGCAGCUUUAACCUAAAAUCAAGUUUAUAUUGUAAUAGACAAAGAUCAACCAUUGUCAGAUACUCGAGACAUGAAGUGAAUAGUUUGUCUCUUGAUAUGUAUUAUUCAUUAUUAAUGUGAACUGUGUAAUUAUUUGCAGCUGCUCAAAAGACUUGUUUUCCUGUUUCUUUCAGAUGAAUGUUACUAAAAGUAUAGAAAAGGAAAAGAUAAAAUGACUCUCUUCUGUGUGUUCUCAUGGUUAAAGUUCUUCAUUUUCCUCCAACAUAUAUUUUCCCCUCAUAAUUAUACAUCUCAACUUCAGAGCUCAAUUACAGAUUUAUCCAUACUAAAAUUAAUAAAAAUCUCUCCUUCUGAAUAUAUUGACUUAUGAAAUAUUAUAAGGCAUUUAAUUCUCAUAUCUACCAUUGAAAAUGCCACUGAAUUUCUUAACAACUAAGCCAUAUUAUGUGUUAAAAAUUUCCCCAAUUUGUAUGAAUUUAAUGUGGUCCACGGGGUCGCUAAGAGUCGGACACGACUGAGCGACUUCACUUUCACUUUUCACUUUGAUGCAUUGGAGGAGGAAAUGGCACCCCACUCCAGUGUUCUUGCCUGGAGAAUCCCAGGGACGGGGGAGCCUGGUAGGCUGCCGUCUAUGGUGUCACACAGGGUCGGACACGACUGAAGCCACUUAGCAGCAGCAGCAAUCUAUGUACAAGUCUUAAGUAUUAAAAUUAGUUAAUGUAGUAUGUGACCCAUAGAAACAGGAGCACAUGGGUAUCUAUAAUUAGGAUAGGAGAGUUACUUACCUGGGCUUUCCUGGUGGCUCAGAUGGUAAAGCGUCUGCCUGCAAUAGUCUGCGUAGAAUCCCAACGGUAAUCUUCAGUUGGCUUCAUCUCAGAUAGCUUUCUUUAACAAUAUCUAAAAGAGUGAUUCCAAUAUUAAAAAAGGAGUCAACAUCUAUCAGCUGCCUACAACAUAUAGAGAUGUGCUACAUUUGUAUUCUGUCAUAUUUUUUUCAUGAGUGUGUGUGUGUGUGUGUGUGUGUGUGUGUAUGCGUGCAUGCUCAGUCAUGUCCAGCUCUUUGCCACCCCGCAAGCAAAGUGGCACCAUAGUGUUGAUUUGUUUUCUUGUUGUCAGCAAGCUCCCUGGUAUUAAUACCAGGAUUGACUGAUGCCUGUGAAAGUGAAAGUUGCUCAGUUGUAGCCGACUCUUUGCGACCCCAUGGACUGUAGCCUGCCAGGCUCCUCUGUCCAUGGAAUUCUCCAGGCAAGAAUACUGGACUGGGUUGCCAGUUCAUUGUCCACUGAUCUCGCCGACCUAGGGAUUGAGCCCCUGUCUGUUGCGUUUCCUGCACUGGCAGGUGGAUUCUUUACCACUGUACCACCUGGUUAGCUCCCAUUUUAUUCAUACACACGGCUAAAAUAUUUAAACCCCCAUUUGCUAUGGAAUGGUAAAGAAGUAGCUAAAUAGCUCAAAUGUGAAAACAUAUGUAGAAAAUUAAAAUGAAAAUAUUACUCUGAUUUUGACAUCGUCAACUCCUUCCUCUGCCUAAGUGCUGGCGCCCCUUUCCUACUCCUCAGCCUCACUUGGGUUCCUCUGGUCUUGAUGCUUUUAUUUCCUUAUUUACCUGCUUUGUGUUUCUCAGUCAUUCUCUGUACCAUUUUACCCUACAUUCCAUGAGAAGGCUUCCUAGACUCCCUAUGUCUGACAUAAAAGCCACUAGCACCCUGUGGCUAUUUGAGUUAAAAUUAAAAAUAAUAAAAAAAUUAAAGGUUCAUUUACUGUAUUUCAAGUUCAGUAGCCACAUGGCCAAACUGGAUAGAACAGAAUAGAAUCUCUUCAUCAUCACAGAAAGUUGAAUUGGACAGCCCUGCAUUAAGCCAGUUGUGUCUUUAUAGAACUAAUAGGCUAAUUGCAGAGUAUCUUUGCUUCCUCUUCCCGAAAGUUCAAACUCGGGUCUUCAUUAACUCUCGUUUUAUUGUCUUUCCCGCUUUUCUACAUACGUUGCUACUUUCCUGCUCUGUGGAAUGCUGAAGUUAAGGUUCUUCAUUCACCACUCUGAAACUUGCUUUGCUCCUUUAGCAGAACAAGUCUGAAGGAUUAUCUUUCCAUUGAAGGAUGCUUUUUUUUUUUUUUUUUUUGAAGUACACUUUGGUGUUUGAUCUUUUAAAAUGUUUUCAAUACUCAGUACUCCAGGAAAAAGAACUAGCGGGUCAUGUAUUUCUUCUUGUAAUUGAAAUAAGACAAAGAUGGGAGAGGUGCUUACUACUACAAGUGGCGUGAUGGGCAUUGUUCUUUCUUAGCACUCAGCAGCAGCAAUUAUAGUUUAAUUAGCACACUCAUCAGUUCAGUUCAGGUCAGUCGCUCAGUCGUGUCUGACUCUUUGCAACCCCGUGAACUGCAGCAUGCCAGGCCUCCUUGUCCAUCACCAACUCCCAGAGUUUACUCAAAUUCAUGUCCGUUGAAUUGGUGAUGCCAUCCAACCAUCUCAUCCUCUGUCGUCCCCUUCUCCUCCUGCCUUCAUUCUUUCCAGCAUCAGGGUCUUUUCCAAUGAGUCAGUUCUUUGCAUCAGGUGGCCAAUGUAUUGGAGUUUCAGCUUCAACAUCAGUCCUUCCAAUGAAUAUUCAGCACUGAUUUCCUUUAGAAUGGACUGGGUGGAUCUCUUGCAGUCCAAGGGACUUUCAAGACUCUUCUCCAGCACCAUAGUCCAAAAGCAUCAAUUCUUCGGCACUCAGCUUUCUUUAUAGUCCAACUCUCACAUCCAUACAUGAGUACUGGAAACACCAUAGUUUUAACUAGACAGACCUUUCUCAGGAAAGUAAUGUCUCUGCUUCUUAAUAUGCUGCCUAGGUUGGUCAUAGCUUUUCUCCCAAGGAGCAAGUGUCUUUUAAUUUCAUGGCUGCAGUCACCAUCUGCAGUGAUUUUGGAGCCCCCCAAAAUAAAGCUUUCCCCCCAUCUAUUUGCCCAUGUGUUUCCCCAUCUAUUUGCCAUGAAGUGAUGGGACCAGAUGCCAUGAUCUUAGUGUUCUGAAUGUUGAGCUUUAAGCCAACUUUUUCACUCUCUGUUUCACUUUCAUCAAGAGGCUCUUUAGUUCCUCUUCACUUUCUGCCGUAAGGGUGGUGUCAUCUGCAUAUCUGAGGUGAUUGAUAUUUCUCCCGGUAAUCUUGAUUCCAGCUUGUGCUUAGUCUAGGCCAGUGUUUCCCAUGAUGUCCUCUGCCUAUAGGUUAAAAGAGCAGGGUGACAGCCUUGACGUACUCCUUUUCCUGUUUGGAACCAGUCUGUUCCAUGUCCAGUUCUAACUGUUGCUUCCUGACCCAUGUACAGAUUUCCCAAGGGCCAGGUCAGGUGGUCUGGUAUUCCCAUCUCUUUCAGAAUUUUCCACAGUUUAUUGUGAUCCACAAAGUCAAAGGCUUUGGCAUAGUCAAUAAAGCAGAAGUAGAUAUUUUUCUGGAACUCUCUUGCUUUUUUGAUGAUCCAACAUAUGCUGGCAAUUUGAUCUCUGGUUCCUCUGCCUUUUCUAAAUCCAGCUUGAACAUCUGGGAGUUAAUGCUUCAUGUACUGCUGAAGCCUGGCUUGGAGAAUUUUUUGAGCAUUACUUUGAUAGCAUGUGAGAUGAGCGCAAUUGUGCAGUAGUUUGAGCAUUCUUUGGCAUUGCCUUUGUUUGGGAUUGGAAUGAAAACUGACCUUUUCCAGUCCUGUGGCCACUGCUGAGUUUUCCAAAUUUGCUGGCAUAUUGAGUGCAGCACUUUCACAGCAUCAUCUUUUAGGAUUUGAGAUAGCUCAACUAGAAUUCCAUCACCUCCACUAGCUUUGUUCGUAGUGAUGCAUCCUAAGGCCCAUUUGACUUCUCAUUCCAGGAUGUCUGGCUCUAGGUGAGUGAUCACACUAUCAUGAUUAUCUAGGUCCUGAAGAUAUUUUUGUAUAGUUCUUCUGUGUAUUCUUGCCAUCUCUUCUUAAUCUCUUCUGCUUCUGUUAGG
ensembl:lncRNA